CGGGCCGGGGGUGGUGCCGCCCCGGCGGCCGCGCGGGACGGACGGCAGCGGGAGCCGGGAACGGAGCCGGAGUCAGCCCGAGCCGGGCAGGAGGAGCCGCACUGGGAGCCGGGCGUGGUGAGCGCAGAGCGGAGAGCGGUGAGCGGAGCUGCCCCGGCCCCAGCCGGGCGGCUGCGGGCAGGAAGGUUCCGCGCUUGCUGGUUGCGCCUGAGGCGGAGCAUCCCGGCGGGGUCAGCCGUCUCCCUUUGCCAAGGGAGGUGGGCACUCCGGGCUUGGGGUGUUUUUUCUCCCCCCUGCCCUAGUACCCCGUGCGCGUUGUUCGUGCUCUCGGCGGGCAGGGCUGCCUAGCGGCAGGGCGCUGUUGCUCGCACGUCCCGCAGCGCCGGGGCUGCUCCUCCCGCUGUCCGGCACCGGCUGAGGCGGGUCCCGGUGGGCUUGGGAAGCCGCCGUGAGCUCGGGAGCAGCGCCCGCCGUGCCUCGCCGGUGCUGCUGCUCCGAGAGAGCCUUCUCAGCGGUUUGCCUGUCCUGUGCCGUAACCAAGGGCAUUUGAUUUUCACAAGCGUUUAACUGAGGUGCUUUUCUCACGAUGCAGUCCCUUUAGAGUUGGCCGUGAUAAUCAACCUGUGCAUUGGUCAUUUGGCUUGUAUCCCUAUAUCUUCUUCCUGCUUUUCCAAAGGAUAUAAUCUUAAAUUGUCCUGGCUUCAGCAGUAAAGGAUAAAUUUGUUCACUGGCUGACUUGUCAUCUCACCUUUGUGAUGGAAAAAUGCUUGCUUAAAAUAAACCCUUUUUAUUCUACUAAAACCUUUGAAUACAAGAUCUGUUGUGAUUUUUAAAACACAAACACAGUAAUGUCAGAACCUGACCCUUCAUCUGGAUUUUUAGGAAACAUGGAAAAUGGGACUUUUCUGGAGCUGUAUCCCACAUCCCUUUCAACUUCUGUGGAUUCAUCACCUGGCCGUUUAUCCAAUAUCUAUGUCUAUGUUUCUAUAUUCCUUAGUCUCUUAGCUUUUCUCCUUUUGCUAUUGAUCAUUGCACUUCAGAGGCUGAAAAACAUAAUUUCUUCCAGUUCCUCCUACCCCGAAUACAAUAGUGAUGCUGGAAGUUCGUUCACUAAUUUAGAGGUUUGCAGUAUUUCUUCCCAGCGCUCUGCUCUCUCAAACCUUUCUUCAUGAAACUAAAUGAAAGGUAAUACAUGCGGAAUGGAAGAGCUCUGUCUAGUUUCUUGGGGAGGUAGUGCAUGCAACAUUUGCCUUAGAAGACUAUUAUGAAGAGGAGGUUUUUAAAGUUUCCUUAUUUUUUUUUUUCCAUUUCCUUUUCUAGUCUUCAUUUGCCCUCUAACUAAUUUUCAUUUUGGACAAUGAAUAAUGAUACCUGAUCAUCAUUUCUUGCCUGUAAUAGCAAUGCUGUGUCUUUCUCACACAUAUAUGGUGUUCAUUAAGAGUAUUCCUGUCAAAUUGUAACACAGUUUUAACUGGAUGUGUCAUUUUUCUGCCCUAGUUGUGACCCCUUCCUUGGUUUUAUGUCAGUAAUAUGCUGACUAAUUUUCUUUCUCAUUUUUUAAUUAUAUAAGGACUUCUGAAUGAAAUCCCUAUUGCAAAAGUAUAUGAAAAAUCUGAUUAAAUUAUAAAUAUUAUAAAAAUUUAAAGCUGAUGGUUUUGUUUUUAAUUUUCAUGUCUUUUUUGUAUUUAUUGAUGUUUAUAAAACACAACUAAAAUCCAUUUCUUGAAGAUUAUUGCCUUUGUUUAUUUGUACUCCCAACUUGUUCUGUAUAAAGUCUGUAUUUCAGUUUUUGAGUCUCUGGUUAACUUAGUAAAGCGACUUUAAUAACAAUACUCACUAUCAAAUGUGUGGAGGUAUUUUUGGACUCUGUUGCAUCUCAUUUGCUUAAUGACUUUUUCCUCCAGGGGGCAGCUUUUGCUGCUGAAUCAUAAAUACCACUCGACUCCUUUGCAUUCUUCAGUGAUACUAUAGCUUAUUCUUACUGGAUACUAGGACAAAUCAGUGGUUUCUUUUUAAAGACCUGCAUUCAACAAAUACAGUUUGCAAGGAAAUAGCUCCUAAACUGUCCUUUAGGAACAAGAUGUUUGUACUUAUGUGAGCAGGGCCAGCAGGGACAGAAAUCCCUUGUACUGGUGAAGAGUUUCUGGGCCAAGUUUUGUCCUUUGGUUUCACAAAUGCACACUAGGGUGGAGUGGGGACUCGAAGAUCUGCAUUAUGGCCAGGCAAACCUGUGCCCUGACCCUUAGAGCUGUACCUGCAGAGGGUAGGAAGAGAUGGGAGAGAAAUGGCAGUGUCCCUGCCCAU